rnacentral:tRNA from 1 species
CCCUGACUGUCCAGUGGUUAAGACUCUGCAUUUCCAAAGCAGGGAUUGUGGGUUUGAUCCCAGGUCAGGGA